rnacentral:misc_RNA from 1 species
CGCACAUUGCGCCUAUUGGUAUUCCAAUAGGCAUGCCUGUUCGAGCGUCAUUUCAAACCUUCAAGCCUUGCUUGGUGUUGGGUGCUGUCUUCAGCUGUAAUUAAUAUCUGCAGACUCGCCUUGAAUUCAUUGGCAGCCAGCAAAUGGGUGUUGGAACGCAGCACAUUUCGCGUUCUCAGCCGCAAUUAUUGGCGUCCAAGAAGCUUAUUUUAACGUUUGACCUCGGAUCAGGUAGGGAUACCCGCUGAACUUAA